UACAGAGGGUGCAAGCGUUAAUCGGAAUUACUGGGCGUAAAGCGUGCGUAGACGGUAGCGUAAGUCGGGUGUGAAAGCCCCGGGCUCACCUGGGAAUUGCAUUCGAGACUGCUCUGCUAGGGUGCGGAAGAGGGAAGCGGAAUUUCCGGUGUAGCGGUGAAAUGCGUAGAUAUCGGAAGGAACACCAGUGGCGAAAGCGGCUUCCUGGUCCAGCACCGACGUUCAGGCACGAAAGCGUGGGGAGCAAACAGGG
rnacentral:rRNA from 1 species